rnacentral:rRNA from 2 species
AGGUGCGAUCAUACUAGCACUAAUGCACCGGAUCCCAUCAGAACUCCGAAGUUAUGUGUGCAUGGGAGAGAAUGGUACUAGAAUGGGUGACCUCCUGAAAGUCAUCGUGCUGCACCUC